UAAUUGCCCACUCCUGUUACAAGGUCUCAGGUGUGAAGGGGGAACAGAUGUGUUAAAUUUGGUGUUAUUGCUCUCAUUCUCUUAUACUGGUCACUGGAAGUUCAACAUGGCACCUCAUGGCAAUGAACUCUGAGGAUCUGAAAAAAAUGAAUUGUUGCUCUACAUAAAG